AAAAGAACCCCUGUGAGGGGAGUGAAAUAGAUCCUGAAACCGUAUGCGUACAAGCAGUCGGAGCGGACUUGUUCCGUGACGGCGUACCUUUUGUAUAAUGGGUCAGCGACUUAUGUUCAGUGGCGAGGUUAACCGUUUAGGGGAGCCGUAGGGAAACCGAGUCUGAAUAGGGCGAUUUAGUCGCUGGGCAUAGACCCGAAACCGGGCGAUCUAUCCAUGAGCAGGUUGAAGGUGCCGUAACAGGCACUGGAGGACCGAACCCACUGUCUUUGAAAAGCCAGGGGAUGACUUGUGGAUCGGAGUGAAAGGCUAAUCAAGCCCGGAGAUAGCUGGUUCUCCCCGAAAGCUAUUUAGGUAGCGCCUCGGACG
rnacentral:rRNA from 1 species